rnacentral:rRNA from 1 species
UACGGAGGAUCCGAGCGUUAUCCGGAUUUAUUGGGUUUAAAGGGUGCGCAGGCGGGAGAUUAAGUCGGCGGUGAAAUUUUGCAGCUCAACUGUAAAAGUGCCUUCGAAACUGGUUUCCUUGAGUGUAGAUGAAGUAGGCGGAAUUUGUGGUGUAGCGGUGAAAUGCAUAGAUAUCACGAGGAACUCCGAUUGCGCAGGCAGCUUACUAAGCCAUAACUGACGCUCAGGCACGAAGGCGUGGGGAUCAAACAGGAUUAGAUACCCCGGUA